rnacentral:rRNA from 1 species
UGAAAAGCCACUAAGCUUCAGUCUAGAGUUGACCGUACCGCAAACCGACACAGGUGGGCAGGAUGAAAAUUCUAAGGCGCUUGAGAGAACUCAGGAGAAGGAACUCGGCAAAUUAACACCGUAACUUCGGGAGAAGGUGUGCCCCGGUAGCGUGUAGAGACUUGCUCUCGAAGCGCGAUGGGGUUGCAGUGAAAUGGUGGCUGCGACUGUUUAAUAAAAACACAGCACUCUGCAAACACGAAAGUGGACGUAUAGGGUGUGACGCCUGCCCGGUGCCGGAAGGUUAAGUGAUGGGGUGCAAGCUCUUGAUCGAAGCCCCGGUAAACGGCGGCCGUAACAAUAACGGUCCUAAGGUAGCGAAAUUCCUUGUCGGGUAAGUUCCGACCUGCACGAAUGGCGUAACGAUGGCCACACUGUCUCCUCCUGGGACUCAGCGAAGUUGAAAUGUUUGUGAAGAUGCAAUCUACCCGCGGCUAGACGGAAAGACCCCAUGAACCUUUACUGUAGCUUUGCAUUGGACUUUGAACCGGUUUGUGUAGGAUAGGUGGGAGACUGUGAAGCCGGGACGCUAGUUUCGGUGGAGUCAACCUUGAAAUACCACCCUGAUUUGUUUGAGGUUCUAACCUUGGUCCGUGAAUCCGGAUCGGGGACCGUGCAUGGUAGGCAGUUUGACUGGGGCGGUCUCCUCCCAAAAGGUAACGGAGGAGUACGAAGGUACGCUUAGGGCGGUCGGACAUCGCCCACAAAGUGCAAUGGCAAAAGCGUGCUUGACUGCGAGACCCACAAGUCGAGCAGGUACGAAAGUAGGUCAUAGUGAUCCGGUGGUUCCGUAUGGAAGGGCCAUCGCUCAACGGAUAAAAGGUACUCUGGGGAUAACAGGCUAAUUCCUCCCAAGAGUUCAUAUCGACGGGGGAGUUUGGCACCUCGAUGUCGGCUUAUCACAUCCUGGGGCUGUAGUCGGUCCCAAGGGUAUGGCUGUUCGCCAUUUAAAGUGGUACGCGAGCUGGGUUUAAAACGUCGUGAGACAGUUUGGUCCCUAUCUGCCGUGGGCGCUGGAAAUUUGAAGGGGGCUGCUCCUAGUACGAGAGGACCGGAGUGGACGAACCUCUGGUGUACCGGUUAUGACGCCAGUCGUAUCGCCGGGUAGCUAAGUUCGGAAGAGAUAAACGCUGAAAGCAUCUAAGCGUGAAACUCGCCUUAAGAUAAGAUUUCCCGGAGUCUUGAACUCCCUGAAGGGUCGUCGAAGACCACGACGUUGAUAGGUCAGGUGUGGAAGCGCAGCAAUGCGUUAAGCUAACUGAUACUAAUUGCCCGUGCGGCUUGAUCCU